GGUCUCUAGACGUUACAGAGAAACCCGAACAACCCAAACUGCUAAUCUUCGAUACCGCUUUAUACUCACGAUCUUGUAUCCACUAACUGUCUCGUUACAUUAAUCCAACAAAUUUCAUUCACUCCGCAUACUCAAUCCUAUAGACACCCUUUUAAUUUUCCAAUCACAGACGUAACUUCAAUUUCACAAAACAACCAAGAGUAAUCACACCCUCUUCAUUAAAAAUUCCGAUUCACCAUUACAACACUGACUUCAGCAACGAUUGCCUCACUCUUCUCAAAAC
rnacentral:lncRNA from 1 species